ensembl:misc_RNA 7SK 7SK RNA
GGAUGUGAGGGCAAUCUGGACAUCUGUCACCCCAUUGAUUGCCAGGGUUGAUUCAGCUGAUCUGGCCGGCUAGGUGGGUGUCCCUGUCUUCCCUCACUGCUCCAUGUGUGUCCCUCCCGAAGCUGUGCGCUCCAUCAAAAAAGGAUGGCCUUCCCCGAAUAGAGACUGACUGGUCUUCAGUCAAGGGUAUACAAGUAGUUGUGCUUCCCUGCUAGAAUCUCCAAACAAGCUCUCAAGAUUCUUGUUUUAGUAGGUAAUAAAUAUAUUUUAGCUUUAAAAAAUUAUAAAUUUUAAAGAUGUGAAAUAAUUU